GGACUGUGCUGGAGAGUACCAAGCAAAGUUUUCCAAGGCAGGCUGCUCAACUCCCAGGAUGAGAGGACUCACUGCCUUGGAAUUACAGCUGGGAAAUGCUUCUGGAAAAACAGAAGAUGUGCUGGAGGAAGAUAGUGUUGUCUCUCUGGCCUGGCAGGUUAGGUCACAGCUGGAAUUAACCAUGAGGUAUUUAACACCAGAGUGGAAGGGAAGGAUGAAACACCAGGGAAGGGAACAGCUUGAAAACUGGUGAGAC